CGGAGGCGAUUGGCUCCCCGAGAGGGGCGUCGGCAAUCAACGGGACCCAGAGCCCUCGCCGAAGUCCUCGCGAUAGCCGCGGCCUCGGUGCGGGGAUGGCCGCAGAGCCGGGUGGAGGUGCUCUGCGGCUCCGGGAGCCGGCUCUCGGGGCCGAGACAUGGCCCGGGGCUCCGGCCAGCUAGGCGGGCCUCAUCGGGACACCGUCACCAUGCCCAAGAGAGGAAAGCGGCUCAAGUUCCGGGCCCACGACGCCUGCUCGGGCCGAGUGACCGUGGCGGACUAUGCCAACUCGGAUCCGGCGGUGGUGAGGUCUGGACGGGUCAAGAAAGCCGUGGCCAACGCUAUUCAGCAGGAAGUAAAAUCUCUUUGUGGCUUGGAAGCGUCCCAGGUUCCUGCCGAGGAGGCUCUUUCCGGGGUGGGUGAGCCAUGUGACAUCCUGGACAGCAGUGAUGAGAUGGAUGCCCAGGAAGAAAGCACUCAGGAAAGAUCAGUCUCCAGAAAAAAGAAGAGCAAGAGACAUAAAGAAGACCCGGAUGGCACUGGAGAAGAGUAUCCUAUGGAUAUUUGGCUGCUGCUGGCUUCCUAUAUCCGUCCUGAGGACAUUGUGAAUUUUUCCCUGAUUUGUAAAAAUGCUUGGACUGUCACUUGCACUGCUGCCUUUUGGACCAGGUUGUACCGAAGGCACUACACGCUGGAUGCGUCUCUGCCUUUGCGGCUGCGACCAGAAUCCAUGGAGAAGCUGCGCUGUCUCCGGGCAUGUGUGAUCCGAUCUCUGUAUCAUAUGUAUGAACCAUUUGCUGCUCGAAUCUCCAAGAAUCCAGCCAUUCCGGAAAGCACUCCCAGCACACUGAAGAAUUCCAAACAUAGCUUGUGUGGGACACUGGAGCCGUUGUGAUGGCAGCAGAAGUGUUUUCCCCUAAAAGCCAAGCCCAUUAUUUUUGAUGGAGCAGCAGGACGUACAGGGCAUGUCUGAAGGCAGGACAGCUGGCACGGCGGACGACCCACCCCUUGUCCCCUGGGAGUGCUUACUUUUCUGGUGCAGAAAGAUUGUUGGGAACAGACAAGAACCAAUGUGGGAGUUCAACUUCAAGUUCAAAAAACAGUCCCCUAGAUUAAAGAGCAAGUGUAUGGAACGGUUGCAACCGCCCAUUCAAUAUCAAGAUGUCCAUACCAACCCUGACCAGGACUGCUGCCUACUGCAGGUCACCACCCUCAACUUCAUCUUUAUUCCUAUUGUCAUGGGGAUGAUAUUUACCUUGUUUACCAUUAAUGUGAGUACAGACAUGCGGCAUCAUCGAGUGAGAUUGGUGUUCCAGGAUUCUCCUGUCCGUGGUGGUCAGAAUCUGCGUAGUGAACAGGGUGUGCAAGUCGUCCUGGACCCGGUGCACAGUGUUCGGCUCUUUGACUGGUGGCAUCCGCAGUAUCCAUUCUCCCUGAGAGCAUAGUUCCUGCUUCCUGUCCCUCGGGAUAGCUUCCAGUCUAGUCCAUUAGUAAUCAGAUUCUGUUUGGAAGGGGCAGCUGUAUUGUGUAGCUGAUUAGUGAUGCACAGGCUGUUUGGGUUCCUGGGGCUCCUGUUACAGGAGGUGGAAAGGUUGAAUCAAGAGGAAAACCAACUAUGAUUUAUAAACAUUUUCAUGUAAAAUUUGCAUAUUUGAAAGGAGAAACCUGGCCUCAUUUUCUGUGUUAAACCUCAAUUGGUGCUGUUGAGUUUGUUCUUCGUUCAUUUAUCUCAGCAAAUGGAUGAUCUUUCGUUAGGGGAAAGUUAAACUCUUACUCUUCAUGGAAGAACGUUUUUCCUUACAGAUUAGAGGAACUCAGAGGCUUAAAAUGGUUGCUCCAAUGUUGCUGCUCCUCAAAUUCAAGUGAAUAUUUUUUUCUUUUCCCUUUACCCUUCUCCAGAAAUAAAGCAGGUGACAGGGUUGUCAGAAUCUUAUAAGAUUGAUUUGUGCAUCUUUUAAAAAAAAUGCUUUUUGGAUAUUUAUUACAUGAAUAUUGAUUGUUUUGAUGAUUUUGUAUUUUGGGUUUUUGUUUUAUUGCAUGAGACUUAAUAGUGAUGGUAAUAAUUAUGUGCCCCUGGUACUGUUCUAAGAACUUUAUAGAUUGUGUCUCUAAUCCUUGUGUCUUGCAAGGUAGUUGAAACCCUUCCCAUUUUAAGGUUGAGAAGCUGAAUCAUUGAUUUACCCAAGGCCAGAACUGCUGGUCCAUGCAGAGCCAGGAUUCUGACCCCUGUCUUUUGCUACACAACAACUUCAAAGGCCAGUUUCAUUUUUCGUGUGGUACUUAGUGGUACAAAGAGGAGGCAGAGUGUGAGGAAAAAGUAAAACAAUGAGUUAUUUGAAUCUUUCAGAUAGCUAUGCAUUAACUGAAAGGUAAGGCAGAGUUUAGGAAAAUUGUGUUUACAUUAAAUUGUUAGGCUUUAUAAUGCUAAAGGUCAUCUUUAAAAAAUACAUUGCAUGUUGAAAGCAGCCUUCAAAUAGAGCAAUUAGUGGCUUUUCUCUGCCCUGUCCUGUCCUUUGAUAUCUUUGUUUUUCCUUUUUAAAUCAUCCUGUGUGCAUUCAGGAUCCUGGUCUUCAUACAGAGAUGUUGACACCCUUCUUAGUCACAGUUCUUACUGUCACUGGCAUGCUCUGAGAAAAGGAUGUGGGUGGGGUUUUGUUUAUUUCUUUUGCUAAGAAGAAAGUCUUACUGCUUCCUUUCCCACCUGGAUGUGGCAGGAGAUGCUCAUUAAGACAAUGCUCUCCUACUCAAGACCUGGAGUUCAUCCUGUAGCGCUGCAGUCCAGCCUCCCUGCCCCACAAAAAUAGUCCUUUGGAGACAGGGUCUUGCUGUGUAGCCCAGGCUGGCCUUGCACUUAAUCCUCUUACUUUAGCUGCCUGGAGUUGUUGGGUGAGUCACCAGACAGGACAAAGACAGAAAAUGUUCUUUAAACAUAAAAAUAUUGUGGGGUGGAUACUUUUGUGAGCUAAAUUGCUAAAUGAGUAUGUUGGUUUUUAUCUUUCCCCACCCCAUGCUAUUUAAAGACCAUUCUUAAGCAUCUGUUUAAUGCUGCUGCUGACAGCAGCCGUACCCACACUGAGGGGCAUGCUGUCACUGGUUGAACAGAUAGUGAGCCUGGGUCAAUAAAAAGAACCACCAGAAUUUGGGUACUUAAUUAACAAAGCAAACAAAAACCCUAGGACAGUAAGCCUCCACAGAUCUCUGCAGUCAGAAGCUGCCUAGAGGCAGAAGAAAAGAAGCACAGAGUCUGGAGUUCCCUGAACAAAAGAUGCCAUGGAGCAGGGGAAGUUGUCCUUGUGGAUUGUGUGUCUCCCAUUUAGGUUUACCCUGAGUGGGUGAAAUAAAUGUGGCUUAAUUGUU